AGGUGCGAAAGCGUGGGGAGCAAACAGGAUUAGAUACCCUGGUAGUCCACGCCGUAAACGAUGUCUACUUGGAGGUUGUGCCCUUGAGGCGUGGCUUCCGGAGCUAACGCGUUAAGUAGACCGCCUGGGGAGUACGGCCGCAAGGUUAAAACUCAAAUGAAUUGACGGGGGCCCGCACAAGCGGUGGAGCAUGUGGUUUAAUUCGAUGCAACGCGAAGAACCUUACCUGGUCUUGACAUCCACAGAACUUUCCAGAGAUGGAUUGGUGCCUUCGGGAACUGUGAGACAGGUGCUGCAUGGCUGUCGUCAGCUCGUGUUGUGAAAUGUUGGGUUAAGUCCCGCAACGAGCGCAAC
rnacentral:rRNA from 4 species